AUUGAACGCUGGCGGCAUGCCUUACACAUGCAAGUCGAACGGCAGCACGGAAGCAAUCCUGGUGGCGAGUGGCGAACGGGUGAGUAAUGUAUCGGAACGUGCCCAGUCGUGGGGGAUAACGCAGCGAAAGCUGUGCUAAUACCGCAUACGAUCUAUGGAUGAAAGCGGGGGAUCGCAAGACCUCGCGCGAUUGGAGCGGCCGAUAUCAGAUUAGGUAGUUGGUGGGGUAAAGGCCCACCAAGCCUGCGAUCUGUAGCUGGUCUGAGAGGACGAUCAGCCACACUGGGACUGAGACACGGCCCAGACUCCUACGGGAGGCAGCAGUGGGGAAUUUUGGACAAUGGGCGCAAGCCUGAUCCAGCAAUGCCGCGUGCAGGAUGAAGGCCUUCGGGUUGUAAACUGCUUUUGUACGAGAUGAAAAGACUCGCUCUAAUACAGUGGGUACAUGACGGUAUCGUAAGAAUAAGCACCGGCUAACUACGUGCCAGCAGCCGCCGUAA
rnacentral:rRNA from 1 species